CUUGUUGGUGAGGUAAUAGCUUACCAAGGCGAUGAUCAGUAGCUGGUCUGAGAGGAUGAUCAGCCACACUGGGACUGAGACACGGCCCAGACUCCUACGGGAGGCAGCAGUGAGGAAUUUUCCGCAAUGGGCGAAAGCCUGACGGAGCAAUGCCGCGUGAAGGAUGAAGGCCCGUGGGUUGUAAACUUCUUUUCUCAGAGAAGAAAUUUUGACGAUAUCUGAGGAAUAAGCAUCGGCUAACUCUGUGCCAGCAGCCGCGGUAAGACAGAGGAUGCAAGCGUUAUCCGGAAUAAUUGGGCGUAAAGCGUCUGUAGGUGGCUUAAAAAGUCUCCUGUCAAAGAUCAGGGCUUAACCCUGGGCCGGCAGGAGAAACUCUUAGGCUAGAGUUUGGUAGGGGCAGAGGGAAUUCCCGGUGGAGCGGUGA
rnacentral:rRNA from 1 species